rnacentral:piRNA from 1 species
UGUGACUCCUGUCCCAGAACGGUAUGAAC